rnacentral:misc_RNA from 1 species
GAUGAAGAACGUAGCGAAAUGCGAUACGUAAUGUGAAUUGCAGAAUUCAGUGAAUCAUCGAAUCUUUGAACGCAUAUUGCGCUCUCUGGUAUUCCGGAGAGCAUGCUUGUUUGAGUAUCAGUAAACACCUCAACUCUUUUUUCUUUUUUGAAAUUGGAGCUGGACUUGAGUGAUCCCAACGCUUUCUUCCAAGAAAGUGGCGGGUUGCUUGAAAUGCAGGUGCAGCUGAACUUUUCUCUGAGCUAUAAGCAUAUCUAUUUAGUCUGCCUAAAAAACAGAUUAUUACCUUUGCUGCAGCUAACAUAAAGGAGACUAGUUCUUGUGCUGACUGAUGCAGGAUUCACAGAGACAGCUUCGGCUGACUUUGUAAACUCGAUCUCAAAUCAAGUAAGACUACCCGCUGAACUUAAGCAUAUCAAUAAGCGAGGA